UACGAAAGGAGCAAGUGUUAUUCAGAUUAACUGGGCGUAAAGGGCACGUAGGUGGUUUGUUUAUGUGUAUUAUUAAAUUAUAAAGCAUAACUUUAUAAUGUAGUAUAAACAGCAAAACUAGAGUUAGGUAGAGAGUAGUAGAAUUUCUAAUGUAAAGGUGAAAUUUGAUAAAUUAAGUAGAGAAUAACCAAUGGCGUAAGCAACUACUUG
rnacentral:rRNA from 1 species